UACGUAGGGGGCGAGCGUUGUCCGGAAUUAUUGGGCGUAAAGCGCACGCAGGCGGUCCAGUAAGUCGGAUGUGAAAUCCUGAGGCUCAACCUCAGAACUGCAUUCGAUACUGCUGGACUUGAGGAAGGUAGAGGAGAGUGGAAUUCCCGGUGUAGCGGUGGAAUGCGCAGAUAUCGGGAGGAACACCAGUUGCGAAGGCGGCUCUCUGGGCCUUACCUGACGCUCAGGUGCGAAAGCGUGGGGAGCGAACAGG
rnacentral:misc_RNA from 1 species